ensembl:lncRNA
GGUGCGUGGUGAAGCACUGGAGUCCCCUGCUGGCCACCUCCAAGGCCCAGCAGCUGCUGUUCAACGUUGUCAACGGGCAAGCACCUCCCUAACUCUCUGUCUGGGCUGGACAAGGCCUUGAGGGACUCCUCUACCUGCAGGUGGGACGCAUGAACAGACACACGCACACACACACUCCCUAUACCUAAACAUUAUGUUACUUACUACCCCAGUUUGGAUACUUUCAGGGGGGAAAAGUAUUGUUUGGAUACUUCAGAAAGUACUAGCAGGGUUAGAGGGGAGGACAGAAAAAUCCAGAAGUAUUUCCCAUGAGCAUUAAUAAUACUAUACUGACCUCUCUCACUGUGCCUCUGUCUCUCCUUUCUUCCCCUCCAGGCUCUGUGUAUAGCAGCCAGUAUGUCUGUCUCAGGGAGCCUACCUAAAGAAGCAGCUCCGUGAUGUCAUCUCCAAGUACCUUGACCAUUUCCUGCCUGCCACUCCAUCGGUUGGGGCCAUAGCCAAUCACCCGGUGCUGCUGGCGGCCUGCGAGGCCACGCCCGCCCCACGUGGGGCAGCACUGAGGAGGAGCGUCCUGCAGGUGAUCAGGUAGGAUUCUGACGCUCUGGGUAGAGAUUGCUCUUAGGCACAGAUCCAGGAUGAGUAAACCCUGCCCAAAUCCUCACCUUAAUAAUUAGGUAAGGGAAUGCGAAGCCAAACUGACCUUGGAGCAGUGUCUCAGGACAACUUCAUCCUAAUCCACCUUGACAGCCUCCUAAGAGCAUCUAUUAAAUGGCCAGACAUUACUGGCUCUGUGUCAUACCUCAUCUGUAUCUGUCUCCAUAGUGAGAACUUCCUGCAUUUCAAAGGCAACGCCCCUCCUCCCCGCCUGGUCACGGUCCUGGCCUUCCUAUUGGAGCUGCUGAGACAGAACAAUGACUGUGACCCCGCCCUGCUCACCAUGCCCCUUCCCCUCUCUGCUCCGCUGCCUGAAGCUGGUCAACGAGCUUCACGUGAGGAGGACCAGUACAGAGGCCCUGCAGCUGGUGGUGGAGAGACGUUCAGCCGCCGCCGGGGAUGCGCCAUGAAUUUGCUGACCCUGCUGGGGGACUGUGAUCAGGCGGAGAUCAUCAGCCUGGAGGAGGACUGACCCUUGACCCCAGGACCAGGUUACCAUGCUGUUGACCUCAACACCACUGGGCUUGAAAUUCAUGUACAUAAUGUAUAGAAAUGGUCCUGUUGGAGUUACAGAUCAUAAUUUAUGAUCAAGUUUCCAUCUUCACAUGUACAUAAUGUAUAGAAAUGGUCCUGUUGGAGUUACAGAUCAUAAUUUAUGAUCAAGUUUCCAUCUUCACAUGUACAUAAUGUAUAGAAAUGGUCCUGUUGGAGUUACAGAUCAUAAUUUAUGAUCAAGUUUCCAUCUUCACAUGUACAUAAUGUAUAGAAAUGGUCCUGUUGGAGUUACAGAUCAUAAUUUAUGAUCAAGUUUCCAUCUUCACAUGUACAUAAUGUAUAGAAAUGGUCCUGUUGGAGUUACAGAUCAUAAUUUAUGAUCAAGUUUCCAUCUUCACAUGUACAUAAUGUAUAGAAAUGGUCCUGUUGGAGUUACAGAUCAUAAUUUAUGAUCAAGUUUCCAUCUUCACAUUGAAAUAUUUUUCAAAAAGGUGUUACGAAAAAAAGUGACUAAUAUGAUGAAAAAAAGAGAAUGUGGAAGUGCAUGUGUUGUAUUUCAGUUUCCUAAUUGUACAGGCAUGGAACGAGGGAAGAGUGUGUGACGCAUAUAGAUAAAUGUAUAAUAUUUUGUUUUUCUAACUGUUUCUCUGGUGUGAUAUUAACUACUGAUAGUAGACAAAUAGGAUCUCUGUGUGCUAAUGCACUCUUUUGUUGGCCCAACUUUACAGGCAGAACCGCCUCCUUUCCUGAGACUGUCCCUCAUCAGAUACAACCAAAGAGUCCGAAAGAUUACUUUUGCUCUUUCCAUUCCCUUUUUCCUUUGAAAUCUUCAUGCAAAUCAGGCUUCAUUUCAAUAGUCAUAAUUUCACGUCUGAGGAACUUGAGGUGUCAUUAAAAAAAGGCACACAAAAAAUACUUUCACAUGACCCUCCCCUUUGUAC